rnacentral:rRNA from 1 species
GAGGGGAAACUGUGUACUGUGGUUUAAUUCGAAGCAACGCGAAGAACCUUACCAGGUCUUGACAUCCUCUGACAACCCUAGAGAUAGGGCUUUCCCUUCGGGGACAGAGUGACAGGUGGUGCAUGGUUGUCUUCAGCUCGUGUCGUGAGAUGUUGGGUUAAGUCCCGCAACGAGCGCAACCCUUGAUCUUAGUUGCCAGCAUUCAGUUGGGCACUCUAAGGUGACUGCCGGUGACAAACCGGAGGAAGGUGGGGAUGACGUCAAAUCAUCAUGCCCCUUAUGACCUGGGCUACACACGUGCUACAAUGGACAGAACAAAGGGGUGCUAGACCGCAAGGUUUAGCCAAUCCCAUAAAUCUGUUCUCAGUUCGGAUCGCAGUCUGCAACUCGACUGCGUGAAGCUGGAAUCGCUAGUAAUCGCGGAUCAGCAUGCCGCGGUGAAUACGUUCCCGGGCCUUGUACACACCGCCCGUAUA